rnacentral:rRNA from 1 species
GACGAACGCUGGCGGCGUGCUUAACACAUGCCAGUCGAACGGAAAGGCCCUGCUUUUGUGGGGUUCUCGAGUGGCGAACGGGUGAGUAACACGUGAGUAACCUGCCCUUGACUUUGGGAUAACUUCAGGAAACUGCGGCUAAUAUCGGGUAUGAGCUCCUGCUGCAUGGUGGGGGUUGGAAAGUUUCGGCGGUUGGGGAUGGACUCGCGGCUUAUGCGCUUGUUGGUGGGGUAGUUGCUUACAAAGGCUUUGACGGGUAGCCGGCCUGAGAGGGUUGCCGGCGACAUUGGGACUGAGAUACGGACCAGACUCCUACGGGAGGCAGCAGUGGGGAAUAUUGCACAAUGGGCGGAAGCCUGAUGCAGAAACGCCGCGAGCGGGAUGACGGGCUUCGGGUUGUAAACCGAUUUCGCAUGUGACGAAGAGUGAGUGACGGUAAUGGGUAAAGAAGCACCGGCUAACUACGUG